UACGAAGGGGGCUAGCGUUGCUCGGAAUUACUGGGCGUAAAGGGCGCGUAGGCGGCCUGCUAAGUCGAACGUGAAAUCCCCGGGCUCAACCCGGGAACUGCGUCCGAUACUGGCAGGCUUGAAUCCGGGAGAGGGAUGUGGAAUUCCAGGUGUAGCGGUGAAAUGCGUAGAUAUCUGGAGGAACACCGGUGGCGAAGGCGGCAUCCUGGACCGGUAUUGACGCUGAUGCGCGAAAGCCAGGGGAGCAAACGGG
rnacentral:rRNA from 1 species